rnacentral:misc_RNA from 1 species
UUUUCAUCCAACAAACGCUGAACAAAUUCCACUGGAUCCUUCAACCUUUCUGGAUCAGUAACUAGCUGCUUACCAGUCUCCCUUAGGUGGGAAGUCAUCACUUCUCGUAUUGUUAGAAGACCAUUAGGAACCCGACGAAACAAGUUAUACAUUCUUCCCAAGUCUUCAUAUUUAUCAUCAAGAAGCAUAUUUACCAGGCCUGAAUUCUCCAUGUG